GGAAAACAGGGACAGAUCAAUUUUGGCAUGGAUUCAAAUGCAACAUAAAGCAGCUUCUCUGCACUGAAAGCCUUUAAGGAUUUUCUGAAUGACAAGAGAACUUCUGAACAUGCAAAUGGGCUGCUCAUGAGGUUACUCCUAUUCCUUAUCUCUAAACAGGACCACGCCCCUCAGCAGUGACUCUCCUGAUAAAAGGCCUCAUGCUGGGUAUUUUCAGAAGGAAUUGAGCAAGAUGUACUGGAAAAGCCACAGCUUUGGAACAAGCCAGCGAGGAAGUUCCCCUGGAUGCUCACCUGGACGUGCCUCAGUCACCACUAAAUCGGGGAGGCUUGAGCCCAAGGUUUGCCAGCCUGAGUAG
rnacentral:lncRNA from 12 species